AGGUAUAAAGAUGAAUGAACCUUCAGCCAGUACUGCUUCGCCUCCCAGUGGCAGUACUGGAUCAUGUUCUAGCAGUGGUCCUACGAAAGUUUUACCCGUUGAUGUACUAGUCCUUGAAGGUUGCAUUGAUGAUGUUAUAUCUUCUCUUACGGACAAGGGGCUGAGGUUGUAAAUUGCUUGAAAAUGGUAUGAAACUAAGGGAUAUAGUGCAGCCUGUAGCAUCCGAUUUUUCGAAAUUAUUUGAGUCCAUUUCAGAGUGUGCAAAGAUAAUUUCGGAUCAGAAAUCCUCUUCCUCAAGGCUUUCUAGCGAAGCACAGUCGGUGGCCUUGGAUACAGUAAAACAACUGGGAAAUGUUCAUUGGGCUGCGAUUGGGCUUUUAGCAAUAGCUAAUGUUCUUGAAAGAUUCGACAAAAUUUCUAUAAAGGAUAGAGAUUGCUUGGACCUUCUGAAACUGAUGCUGGACCUCGCUAAAUUUCUAAAGCAGCUCAAAGACAUGAAUGCCGACUCUCACAAAGAACUUUCAGAAAAAAAUGAACGAGGCGCUUCAUUUGAUUGUUAGUGGUGCAAUCUUCUGUCGUUCCUUUAUCGCGUACAAGAAAAUGUUGAAGUUCUUAUCCACAACGAAAAUCCGUGACGAACUUGUCUAUAUAAGGAGAAAGGUGGAUAGUAUAAUAGGCCAGCUGAGUCUACAGAUGCAAGUUAAACGUUGCCUCUUUCUAUAUGUCACAGCCACAGCCAUACAGUAAUGCUCCAGGUGGACUUUCUUCUGAGCAAUCAACUACCACUAAUGAAAUUGUUCACUGUGAGAUGGAGCAUGCAGCCCAAACAGAGACAUGCGCAGCGAUCUCAAGCAGUGAGAUGUGCACAGCAGAUUCAAAAGUCGUCUCUCGAGUGACUGAAUGAAAAACAGAGGAUUCUGUUUCAUGUAAAGCAAGUGAUUGGGCAGAUAGGUUUCAAAAGUCAAAAAGGCUAUUACCAACAUUUGCGAGGUUACUUACCUAUCUUAAAAGUCUCAAAGAACAAAUAUCUUCAUCUCAAAGAAAGCAAAAGCUUGGCAAGUCACUAGUUCUGGGAAUAAACUUGGGGAAAAGUCAGCUUUCUUCAUUUAGCGUAAAAGAUGAAUACGGGGGCCUACCGAUUUACUUCAGUUUCAAGGAAUUGGGGAACGCGACAGACCCAGAGCAAUUGGAAAGCUACAGUGCUUGGUUCGAGCUUUAUAAAGCAACUUUGAAGACCGGAAGACAAGUGCUAAUAAAGACGUUCCCUGUCGAAUUUGUCUUGCAUGGGCUAAACCAGACGUAGAUCAUGUUGAACGAGUUUGUUUUUUUGGUGAAUUUGCGGCAUAAGAACAUUAUGAAGCUCGUGGGAUUUUGUAAUAUUAGAAAAGAGGUACCGAUGUUAGUUUAUGAUUAUCCCCCCAACGGACGUCUGUCUAACUUCAUUUUAGUUAAGACUCCAUCGUAGUUAUUUUUUAUUUGCUUAUCCUUAUCGAAUCCCGUUGUCGUUGAGGAUCUGAAAAAAUUCGAUUAUAA